UUACACAUGCAAGUCGAACGGUGAAGCCCAGCUUGCUGGGUGGUCAUUGGCGAACGGGUGAGUAACACGUGAGCAACCUGCCCUCCACUUCGGGAUAAGCCUUGGAAACGGGGUCUAAUACCGGAUAUGAUCACUCAUCGCAUGGUGGGUGUUGGAAAGUUUUUCGGUGGGGGAUGGGCUCGCGGCCUAUCAGCUUGUUGGUGGGGUGAUGGCCUACCAAGGCGUCGACGGGUAGCCGGCCUGAUAGGGCGACCGGCCACACUGGGACUGACACACGGCCCACACUCCUACGGGAGGCAGCAGUGGGGAAUAUUGCACAAUGGGCGCAAGCCUGAUGCAGCGACGCCGCGUGAGGGAUGACGGCCUUCCGGUUGUAAACCUCUUUCAUCAGGGAAGAAGCGCAAGUGACGGUACCUGCAAAAGAAGCGCCGGCUAACUACGUGCCAGCAGCCGCGGUAAUACGUAGGGCGCAAGCGUUGUCCGGAAUUAUUGGGCGUAAAGAGCUCGUAGGCGGUCUGUCGCGUCUGGUGUGAAAUCCCGAGGCUCAACCUCGGGCUUGCAUCGGGUACGGGCAGACUAAAGUGCGGUAGGGGAGACUGGAAUUCCUGGUGUAGCGGUGGAAUGAACAGAUAUCAGGAGGAACACCGAUGGCGAAGGCAGGUCUCUGGCCCGCAACUGACGCUGACGAGCGAAAGCAUGCUGAGCGAACAGGAUUAGAUACCCUGGUAGUCCAUGCCGUAAACGUUGGGCACUACGUGUGCGGCUCAUUCCACGAGUUCCGUGUCGCAGCUAACGCAUUAAGUGCCCCGCCUGGCGAGUACGGCCGCAAGGCUGAAACUCACAGGAAUUGACGGGGGCCCGCACUAACGGCGGAGCAUGCCGAUUAAUUCGAUGCACGCGAAGAACCUUACCAGGGCUUGACAUGCACCGGAAACACUCAGAGAUGGGUGCCCCGUUACGGUCGUGCACAGGUGCGUCAUGGAUGUCGUCAGCUCGUUGUCGUGAAGAUGUUGGGCUAAGUCCGU
rnacentral:rRNA from 1 species